AGCGGCAAAUUAUAAAUAGUAGCUCUUUCAUAGCAACGCAAUUAGUAUAAACUUGGACAUUUCUCAGACAAGUCGAUUAAAAAUGUUGAAUAGAAACGUUUUUGUUGUAAUUUUCGUUGGAUUGAUCGUUUUUCAGUUUGCGAUUUCUAAUGUGGAUGCAAUGAAGAAAAACGAAGGAAAACCUGCCAAUCCAAAAAAAGAUGUUAAGAAAACCAAAGCAGUUGUACAAAAAGAGCCGAGUGAGGCGAAGAAUACCGUAAAAAAUCCGGAGGUGAAGAAUACAGCAGAGAGGCCGGAGAAUAAAGAAGCCGCGAAAACUCAAAAUUCACAUGGUAUGACUGAUGAAGAAUAUCAAGACUUUCUCAUUUGGAUGGAAAGAAAUGAUGAUUUCUAUUAAUGUAUUAGUUCUUUCUAAUAAUUCACAAUGAAUCGUUUGUAUCGCUAAAAUACGAAAUGAAAUAAAUAUUCACUGAUGUAAUAUGAAAUAAAGGUGGUCAUAGAAACUACAACAAAAACUUUUCUUUGUAAGAAAA